AUUGAACGCUGGCGGCAUGCCUUACACAUGCAAGUCGAACGGCAGCAUGGGUGCUUGCACCUGAUGGCGAGUGGCGAACGGGUGAGUAAUGCAUCGGAACGUACCCGGAAGGUGGGGGAUAACGUAGCGAAAGUUACGCUAAUACCGCAUAUUCUGUGAGCAGGAAAGCGGGGGAUCGCAAGACCUCGCGCUUCCGGAGCGGCCGAUGUCGGAUUAGCUAGUUGGCGGGGUAAAGGCCCACCAAGGCAACGAUCCGUAGCGGGUCUGAGAGGAUGAUCCGCCACACUGGGACUGAGACACGGCCCAGACUCCUACGGGAGGCAGCAGUGGGGAAUUUUGGACAAUGGGCGCAAGCCUGAUCCAGCCAUGCCGCGUGAGUGAAGAAGGCCUUCGGGUUGUAAAGCUCUUUCGGCGGGGAAGAAAUCGCAUCUCCUAAUACGGGGUGUGGAUGACGGUACCCGAAUAAGAAGCACCGGCUAACUACGUG
rnacentral:rRNA from 1 species